UACAGAGGGGGCAAGCGUUGUUCGGAAUUACUGGGCGUAAAGGGCGCGUAGGCGGCCUGUUAAGUCGAACGUGAAAUCCCCGGGCUCAACCCGGGAACUGCGUCCGAUACUGGCAGGCUUGAAUUCGGGAGAGGGAUGCGGAAUUCCAGGUGUAGCGGUGAAAUGCGUAGAUAUCUGGAGGAACACCGAUGGCGAAGGCAGGUCUCUGGGCUGACACUGACGCUCAUGCACGAAAGCGUGGGGAGCAAACAGG
rnacentral:rRNA from 1 species